ensembl:snRNA U2 U2 spliceosomal RNA
AUUGCUUCUUGGCCUUUUGGCUAAGAUUAAGUGUGAUAUCUCUUUUCAUCAGUUUAAUAUCUGAUACGUCCUAUAUAUCAGGACAAUAUAUUACAUGGGUUUUUGGAGCUGGAAGAUGGUAUAGGAGCUUGCUCCAUCCACUCUGAGGAAACAAAACAAAACCAUACACA